UACGAAUGGAGCAAGCGUUGUUCGGAAUAACUGGGCUUAAAGCGUAUGUAGGCGGAUUACCAAGUCGGGAGUGAAAUCCCGGGGCUCAACCCCGGAACUGCUUCCGAAACUGGUAGUCUAGAAUACUGGAGAGGUUGGGAGAAUUCCUAGUGUAGAGGUGAAAUUCGCAGAUAUUAGGAGGAAUACCAGUGGCGUAGGCGCCCAACUGGACAGUUAUUGACGCUCAGAUACGAAAGCGUGGGGAGCAAAC
rnacentral:rRNA from 1 species